GGCAACAACUGGGCAACAAAACAACCCAAUGUGGUCGAUUGUAAAGAAAUACAGAAUAACAGCUUCCAACUUUGGUGCAGUUCUCAGUUCUAAGCAAAGGCGAAUGACAUUGUCACUGAAGAAACGGCUUAUGUCGGCUUACAAUCUGGAGUCCAUCAAGGCUGUUGCAUGGGGUAUCACUCAUGAAGAUGAUGCUUUGAGAAAGUAAGAAAAGGACUUUGAUGCAGCUGUAAAGCAGUCAGGGAUAUGGUUGCAUGAAUCCGGAGUGUUGGGAGCUUCACCUGAUGGCUUAGUUGUUCGACCACCAACAUGCAGAAGCCAAAGACGCCAUUCCUGAUAUUGUAGAGGUGAAGCGUCCAUAUACAGCAUCGUCUUCAACAGCAGCAGAUGCAGCACAAAAUUUGAAGGAUUUUUUCAUAGAUAAGUAACAAUUUAUAAGUUGGAUUAAAAAUCUGUGUUGUCCAGUACUUUGAAAUUAAAACUCUUGGUGAGUAAAUGAUUUCAAUACAUGUAUUAAUUUACAAGUGCAACUGUUCAAUAUAGUAUGAAGAUAUGGAAAAAGGAGGGGAUAUGAAUGGGUAUAACACAACUUAAGUGUUUUUGAUUUUUUAGAUAUUAAACAAGAUACCCUACGCCUGAAAACCAGUCACCCAUACUAUCAUCAAAUUCAAGGCCAGCUACACAUAUGUAACAAAACAUGCUGCGACUUAAUUGUGUGGACAAGACUCAAGAGUAGACUGCAUGGUGAUUAGAAUAGUAAAAGACAAUGAAUGGACAGCAAAUGUUUCAAAGCUGAUAGAUUUCUACUUUAACAUUUUCAUUCCAGCACUGAUGGAAAACUGAGUUCUG